CGGCGCCAACAAUUUAUAAAUGAACCAAAAGUGUUGAAUGAGCUACUGACUGAGUAUCCAGCUCUUCAGCUUGUUUCAGAGGUAAAAGCAGAAUUUGGUCGAAUUUUGGCAGACCAAAAUGCAGCCAGCAACAUGGUUAUCCAUUACAAUAAUAUGGUUCAAAAUGUAAUAAAAUGGGCUGGCAAUAGUGACAACAAACACAUAAAAAUAUUGAUGUCAGACAUGGAGGCCAUGCUGUUGCAAAAACCUAAUAAGGAAGCUGAUAUAAGGAGUGCAGUUACAGCAUUGAUUAUUCAGGUUGUGUUGAAUGA